UUGAACACACGAUCUGUGAAAAACUCUGCGAAUCGUUUUGUACAAAGAGGGAUCGUGCCCGGAGGCACGAUCGUCGGUGCCCGAGUCGAGAUUCAUGCGCGUCAGCCUUGAUCGUCCCGUUUGGUGCGCGGCGGGAUUGAGUGAC
rnacentral:rRNA from 1 species